CAGAUUAUACAAUGGAGUAUCACUAGGCGACCAAAAAGUUGGGAAGCUUUAAUAAAGAUCAGAAUGACACAGGAAGAAGCAAGUGAGGGAUAGACAAGAGGAAGACGUGCUGCCCUCUUUGACCACUCCCAGCAGCGUGGCAUGGCGCCCAGUUUGCUUGUGAACACACCGACCUCCAACUCUAAGGCCAGCAUCAACUCCUCCUAUCACUGCCAGCACAGGCCACACCUCUAUGCAAAGUGUCCUCAGCUGCAGCUCUGAGAGCCUUUCCAUCAUUUUUUUGUUAAUGCAGUAAGUCCAACGGUCUGUUCGAUGAAGGAUACGGAUAAGCUGAAUAGUGGCUUCUGCCAGCACUGCUGCUACUGGACUACAAAUGGGGUCUCCUGGAAGAAAACAGGAGGUGACAAACAAAACAAAAAGCUUGUUUUAUUUUAUCACAUCUUGUAUACCUACCAGUGUGUAACCCUCUUCAUCUGAUUCAGGCUGAGACAAAUCAGAUUCACUCCUCGAUUUGAUCAGUCUAUAAUUUGGACUUGCGUGGACUAGCCGGCUCUCUGCAAUUGCAGAAAAACACAGAAAUUAAUUGACUUUCAACUUUACCCAUCUGUCUCGUGAUGAUGACCUGGUUUGAAUAAGUUCAAGGUUCUUGCAAGCAAGUAAACGACUUCGAACUUUGUACACACAACGGUACACUUCUGACAAGCUUUUACCAGGUUGAUAUCUAAAUAAAGAACCAAAAUAGAAAAGUUAUAAUUUCUAACAUCA